rnacentral:rRNA from 1 species
CCUACGGGAGGCACCAGUGGGGAAUAUUGCACAAUGGGCGCAAGCCUGACGCAGCCAUGCCGCGUGUGUGAAGAAGGCCUUCGGGUUGUAAAGCACUUUCAGCGGGGAGGAAGGCGUUAAGGUUAAUAACCUUGGCGAUUGACGUUACCCGCAGAAGAAGCACCGGCUAACUCCGUGCCAGCAGCCGCGGUAAUACGGAGGUUGCAAGCGUUAAUCGGAAUUACUGGGCGUAAAGCGCACGCAGGCGGUCUGUCAAGUCGGAUGUGAAAUCCCCGGGCUCAACCUGGGAACUGCAUUCGAAACUGGCAGGCUGGAGUCUUGUAGAGGGGGGUAGAAUUCCAGGUGUAGCGGUGAAAUGCGUAGAGAUCUGGAGGAAUACCGGUGGCGAAGGCGGCCCCCUGGACAAAGACUGACGCUCAGGUGCAAAAGUGUGGGGAGCAAACAGGAUUAGAUACCCCUGUAGUC